UGAUGAUUUUCCACGGUUCUCCGUUUGUCGAGAAAGUAUCUCUCGUUAAGUUUGUUAUGUCUAGUCUUGCUGUUUUGUUGGUGUUCAUCAAACUGUCGAGUUUCCCUCCAGUUUUUAUCUUGUUACCGUUGAGCAUAGCUCCGGAUGUAAUAACUUAAAACCCUUUUAGAUUUAAUAUAAUCGUUUGUUUGACAAAAAAAAAGAAGCUCUUGAAGAUGUAUGAGACCAAAGGAAGGAUUCAACUUCUGGAUUGUUGAUUAUGUGCUUUCUAACCUGGGGCUGUAUAUAUAGAUCGAAUGAAUGAGCUGUGUGAGAAUGGGACGUACAUGAACAAAAGUUUUCAAACGGUUUUGUCUUUCCAGGAUCGUGUGUCAGAGAUUUCUUGUUCUGUUGGUGAACACAAAUGUUUGUUUUCACUACGAAACUUAAGUGGGGACCUCAAUUAGUUGUUCACCAACAGAACAAGAAAUCUCUGACACAUGAUCAUGCUGUUGUACAUUGAACAACAAGAACACAUGUAAUUUAAAGCCAUAUAUAGAAGAAGCUUGGAAUUGUACUCUGAGGUGAUACUUUAAAUAUAAGUGAGAGAGCCUUUGCUGAGGGUUAUAUGGAGAUAAGAGAUAACAAUAGAAUGCAAGUGGUCAAAGUGAAUCAAUUUUUACCUUUCCAGACAUGGGAUUUGGUCUUCUAUAUUUUGAACAAAUUUGGUAAAAAAUCUCAAUCCAGCCUUAUCGAAUUUGAAAAUAUAAUCAUGAUUUAUUUUGACCUUUGACCAAACAACAAAGAGAAGUCUUUUUUUUUUUUGUUCCACACUAUAAAAAUAAUUCAACAAUAGCUAAAACAAUCUUGGAUCAACAUCAUCUUCAUAAUCAUUGUGUAAUAAUAUUCCCGGAAAGUAAAAUAAUGAAAACAUCAUCAAUGAAGUUUGCUUUUGUUUUGUUCUUAGCCAUUACAUCGGUGAUGAGUAUUGUAGCAGUUCCAGAUAUUGAAGCAGAGCAGUUAGCACCGGAAGAAGCUCCUUACGUUUUGUUGCAUCGUGAAGGUUCUUCACCAAAAGAAUCUCCACAAAAGUUUACAUUUAGAUGCGACACACCUAGGUGUCAAAUAAUUUGUACGAUUCGAUGUUUUUGUAUAUGCUAAGCUUCAUCUCUUCGUUAAUAAUAUAUGUAUUCACUAAAAUAAAAUAAAAGACUUGAUUGUUG